rnacentral:tRNA from 1 species
GGCUCUGUAGCUCAGUCUGGUAGAGCGGCUGCUUCAUACGCUGUAUGUCACUGGUUCAAAUCCAGUCGGAGCCAC